AUAGGGGAGCCGAAGGGAAACCGAGUCUUAACUGGGCGUUAAGUUGCAGGGUAUAGACCCGAAACCCGGUGAUCUAGCCAUGGGCAGGUUGAAGGUUGGGUAACACUAACUGGAGGACCGAACCGACUAAUGUUGAAAAAUUAGCGGAUGACUUGUGGCUGGGGGUGAAAGGCCAAUCAAACCGGGAGAUAGCUGGUUCUCCCCGAAAGCUAUUUAGGUAGCGCCUCGUGAAUUCAUCUCCGGGGGUAGAGCACUGUUUCGGCAAGGGGGUCAUCCCGACUUACCAACCCGAUGCAAACUGCGAAUACCGGAGAAUGUUAUCACGGGAGACACACGGCGGGUGCUAACGUCCGUCGUGAAGAGGGAAACAACCCAGACCGCCAGCUAAGGUCCCAAAGUCAUGGUUAAGUGGGAAACGAUGUGGGAAGGCCCAGACAGCCAGGAUGUUGGCUUAGAAGCAGCCAUCAUUUAAAGAAAGCGUAAUAGCUCACUGGUCGAGUCGGCCUGCGCGGAAGAUGUAACGGGGCUAAACCAUGCACCGAAGCUGCGGCAGCGACGCUGAUGCGUUGUUGGGUAGGGGAGCGUUCUGUAAGCCUGCGAAGGUGUGCUGUGAGGCAUGCUGGAGGUAUCAGAAGUGCGAAUGCUGACAUAAGUAACGAUAAAGCGGGUGAAAAGCCCGCUCGCCGGAAGACCAAGGGUUCCUGUCCAACGUUAAUCGGGGCAGGGUGAGUCGACCCCUAAGGCGAGGCCGAAAGGCGUAGUCGAUGGGAAACAGGUUAAUAUUCCUGUACUUGGUGUUACUGCGAAGGGGGGACGGAGAAGGCUAUGUUGGCCGGGCGACGGUUGUCCCGGUUUAAGCGUGUAGGCUGGUUUUCCAGGCAAAUCCGGAAAAUCAAGGCUGAGGCGUGAUGACGAGGCACUGCGGUGCUGAAGCAACAAAUGCCCUGCUUCCAGGAAAAGCCUCUAAGCAUCAGGUAACAUCAAAUCGUACCCCAAACCGACACAGGUGGUCAGGUAGAGAAUACCAAGGCGCUUGAGAGAACUCGGGUGAAGGAACUAGGCAAAAUGGUGCCGUAACUUCGGGAGAAGGCACGCUGAUAUGUAGGUGAAGUCCCUCGCGGAUGGAGCUGAAAUCAGUCGAAGAUACCAGCUGGCUGCAACUGUUUAUUAAAAACACAGCACUGUGCAAACACGAAAGUGGACGUAUACGGUGUGACGCCUGCCCGGUGCCGGAAGGUUAAUUGAUGGGGUUAGCGCAAGCGAAGCUCUUGAUCGAAGCCCCGGUAAACGGCGGCCGUAACUAUAACGGUCCUAAGGUAGCGAAAUUCCUUGUCGGGUAAGUUCCGACCUGCACGAAUGGCGUAAUGAUGGCCAGGCUGUCUCCACCCGAGACUCAGUGAAAUUGAACUCGCUGUGAAGAUGCAGUGUACCCGCGGCAAGACGGAAAGACCCCGUGAACCUUUACUAUAGCUUGACACUGAACAUUGAGCCUUGAUGUGUAGGAUAGGUGGGAGGCUUUGAAGUGUGGACGCCAGUCUGCAUGGAGCCGACCUUGAAAUACCACCCUUUAAUGUUUGAUGUUCUAACGUUGACCCGUAAUCCGGGUUGCGGACAGUGUCUGGUGGGUAGUUUGACUGGGGCGGUCUCCUCCUAAAGAGUAACGGAGGAGCACGAAGGUUGGCUAAUCCUGGUCGGACAUCAGGAGGUUAGUGCAAUGGCAUAAGCCAGCUUGACUGCGAGCGUGACGGCGCGAGCAGGUGCGAAAGCAGGUCAUAGUGAUCCGGUGGUUCUGAAUGGAAGGGCCAUCGCUCAACGGAUAAAAGGUACUCCGGGGAUAACAGGCUGAUACCGCCCAAGAGUUCAUAUCGACGGCGGUGUUUGGCACCUCGAUGUCGGCUCAUCACAUCCUGGGGCUGAAGUAGGUCCCAAGGGUAUGGCUGUUCGCCAUUUAAAGUGGUACGCGAGCUGGGUUUAGAACGUCGUGAGACAGUUCGGUCCCUAUCUGCCGUGGGCGCUGGAGAACUGAGGGGGGCUGCUCCUAGUACGAGAGGACCGGAGUGGACGCAUCACUGGUGUUCGGGUUGUCAUGCCAAUGGCACUGCCCGGUAGCUAAAUGCGGAAGAGAUAAGUGCUGAAAGCAUCUAAGCACGAAACUUGCC
rnacentral:rRNA from 1 species